CUAGUCUUUUAUCUUUUAAGAAGUUUUUGAAAUUGCAUUUGCUUGUUUAUCAAUCACUCUAUGCGUUGUCCCCCUAGUUGACUUGCAUCGCACAUGCUAGUUUGUUUUCUCAUGUACAAACUUCACCUUCGUUUUAGUUUCUUCGUUUGUUUUUCUUUGAGAAAAAGGAAGUGAAUAGCUACCCAUAAUAUAAAUAGUUAGACCCAAAUACCUAC
rnacentral:lncRNA from 1 species